rnacentral:tRNA from 1 species
GCCUGGAUGGCUCAGUUGGUUGAGCACCUGACUUCGGCUCAGGUCACCAUCUUCUGGUUUGGGAGUUUGAGCCCCCACUGGGCA